GACGAACGCUGGCGGCGUGCUUAACACAUGCAAGUCGAACGGAAAGGCCCUGCUUUUGUGGGGUGCUCGAGUGGCGAACGGGUGAGUAACACGUGAGUAACCUGCCCUUGACUUUGGGAUAACUUCAGGAAACUGGGGCUAAUACCGGAUAGGAGCUCCUGCUGCAUGGUGGGGGUUGGAAAGUUUCGGCGGUUGGGGAUGGACUCGCGGCUUAUCAGCUUGUUGGUGGGGUAGUGGCUUACCAAGGCUUUGACGGGUAGCCGGCCUGAGAGGGUGACCGGCCACAUUGGGACUGAGAUACGGCCCAGACUCCUACGGGAGGCAGCAGGGGGGAAUAUUGCACAAUGGGCGGGAGCCUGAUGCAGCAACGCCGCGUGCGGGAUGACGGCCUUCGGGUGGUAAACCGCUUUCGCCUGUGACGAAGCGUGAGUGACGGUAAUGGGUAAAGAAGCAACGGCUAACUACGUG
rnacentral:rRNA from 1 species